CGCCAAUUUCCUGAACGUGUGGAAAGAGAACAACGGUAUACUCCGGGCUUGAAAUUUAAACAGGGCUUUCGAUACAACAAAACCCCAGCUGGCAAUUCGAUACUUGUUGGCUGGCUGUGAGCCAAACGAUAACCAACAAUAGCCAACAUUCUGUUCUCUUCUGCUCUUCUUACCAUAGAGUGGCUACUAGAUUUGGCAAGUAUGGACGAACCAGACCUAAUACAUUAAAUUACUGUGGUAAAGUCGAGACCAAAAAAGAAAUUCCAAGAAGAAAAAAGGAAAAAGAAAAGGAAAUCUUUGGUAGCGUCCGACGUGGGCAAAGCUGCCGAGACUCAAGGAGCAUCCCUAUAUUUGGCCUCAUAUUUCAGCAAGG
rnacentral:sRNA from 1 species